rnacentral:rRNA from 1 species
CCUACGGGAGGCAGCAGUGGGGAAUUUUCCGCAAUGGGCGAAAGCCUGACGGAGCAAGACCGCGUGGGGGAGGAAGGUUCUUGGAUUGUCAACCCCUUUUCUCAGGGAAGAACAAAAUGACGGUACCUGAGGAAAAAGCAUCGGCUAACUCCGUGCCAGCAGCCGCGGUAAUACGGGGGAUGCAAGCGUUAUCCGGAAUGAUUGGGCGUAAAGAGUCCGUAGGUAGUCAAUCAAGUCUGCUGUUAAAGAGCGAGGCUUAACUUCGUAAAGGCAGUGGAAACUGUAAGACUAGAGUGUAGUAGGGGCAGAGGGAAUUCCUGGUGUAGCGGUGAAAUGCGUAGAGAUCAGGAAGAACACCGGUGGCGAAGGCGCUCUGCUGGGCUAUAACUGACACUGAGGGACGAAAGCUAGGGGAGCGAAUGGGAUUAGAUACCCCGGUAGUC